AAAAAGAGGAAGUCACGAUAAUGCGAAGCUGGAAGAAAAGCAGCCCUUACACUUCACAGUAAAAUCCGUUUUCUUUGCACUUUUUUAUUAACAGCUCCAACUAUGAUCAGUGCAUAAAUCUACCUGCAACACAGGAUGUUGGAAAAUUACCGAGAGACAGCAACGUCCUCCCUGCUGCUUGGAGAGAGAGGAAGGAUGCACCUGCAGUUCAAAUACUGGGCUUGGUGACCGUCUUGUGGGAUCCUGAAUGCUGUGUCUGUGUGCCUCCCAGCCCCUGUAGACAACAACUAGGAGACGUUCAUGACUGUACCAGGAACCAGCAGCAAGACACGGGCACAAAGGUGAGCCAAGGGACCGAGCGGGGACAGCCAGACCAGUGGAGGCACGUGGAGAUGGGGACCAAUGUCACGAUGGGCAGCAAAAAGAAAACGAGGAGAUGUACUAUAAGAAGUGAGAGGAAGGCUCGUCUCUAAGCCAGAAGGACUCCUCCGCAUGGGCACCUAACUUCAUGACUCCCUACCCGAGAUGCCAGAGACCUGGUGAUGUGGGACCAGCCUCUGCCACCCAGGCCUUGGUAGUAGCCCCUGGCUGGUGGCUGCCGCGUACUGUGGGCACCGAGGUCCUCUUUCUCCACCAAUGCUUCCCCCCUGUCUCCAAGCCAUGAGGAGAGGGGAGAGGAGAGCGAAGCUGCUGAAGAACCACUAGCCCACGUCUUCCCAGCCCCUGUCCCGCUCCCCGCUUCUGGCAGACCAGGAACCCCU
rnacentral:lncRNA from 1 species